rnacentral:piRNA from 1 species
UGAGGUGCAUACCCUUUGUUUGGCGGA